rnacentral:rRNA from 1 species
AUUGAACGCUGGCGGCAGGCCUAACACAUGCAAGUCGAGCGGAUGAAGGGAGCUUGCUCCUGGAUUCAGCGGCGGACGGGUGAGUAAUGCCUAGGAAUCUGCCUGGUAGUGGGGGAUAACGUCCGGAAACGGGCGCUAAUACCGCAUACGUCCUGAGGGAGAAAGUGGGGGAUCUUCGGACCUCACGCUAUCAGAUGAGCCUAGGUCGGAUUAGCUAGUUGGUGGGGUAAAGGCCUACCAAGGCGACGAUCCGUAACUGGUCUGAGAGGAUGAUCAGUCACACUGGAACUGAGACACGUUCCAGACUCCUACGGGAGGCAGCGGUGGGGAAUAUUGGACAAUGGGCGAAGGCCUGAUCCAGCCUUGCCGCGUGGGUGAAAAAGUUCUUCGAAUUGUAAAGCACUUUAAGUUGGGAGAAAGGGCAGUAAGUUAAAACCUUGCUGUUUUGACUUACCAACAGAAUAAGCACCGGCUAACUUCGUG